UUUUGUGAUCAUCACGUGUUUUGAAAAACCGAUUUAAAAUUUACUUUGGUUUUGGUUCGAACUGAUCGGUUUAUUUUUCUGGUCAUUACCACAUCUUUAUCAAUUAUAUCAUUGACUACUUAUGGGUUCUGUUCCGGUGUACAACUUGCAUCAGUAGCAGUAAAACUUUAGUUUUUGAAGAGCUUGGAUUGAAACCAAGUUCUGAAAUCUUUUUGUGAGAUUUAGAGUAGUCUAUAAUGAAUUUAUCUUCAUCAUGUGAACUUGUCUAAACAACAACAUCUACCAUCGCAAAAACAGUACAAAUGGGAUAAAUCACUUGUUUAUACAUUCUUCUUUUUCACUUGUUUAUACAUUACUCAAAUUUAGAUUAGAUAUAUGAUGUU
rnacentral:sRNA from 1 species